GGCCAGGUUGACCGGUUCCGUAGGUCGGAAUCCGGCCGAUCGGGCUCACGACCCGAAGGCCACAGGUUCAAGUCCUGCCCCCGCCGCCA
rnacentral:tRNA from 1 species